AAAUCCGUCGACUUUAAAAAUCG
rnacentral:tRNA from 1 species